GAUGAACGCUGGCGGCGUGCCUAAUACAUGCAAGUCGAGCGAACGGACGAGAAGCUUGCUUCUCUGAUGUUAGCGGCGGACGGGUGAGUAACACGUGGAUAACCUACCUAUAAGACUGGGAUCACUUCGGGAAACCGGAGCUAACACCGGAUAAUAUUUUGAACCGCAUGGUUCAACAGUGAAAGACGGUCUUGCUGUCACUUAUAGAUGGAUCCGCGCUGCAUUAGCUAGUUGGUAAGGUAACGGCUUACCAAGGCGACGAUGCAUAGCCGACCUGAGAGGGUGAUCGGCCACACUGGAACUGAGACACGGUCCAGACUCCUACGGGAGGCAGCAGUAGGGAAUCUUCCGCAAUGGGCGAAAGCCUGACGGAGCAACGCCGCGUGAGUGAUGAAGGUCUUCGGAUCGUAAAACUCUGUUAUUAGGGAAGAACAUAUGUGUAAGUAACUGUGCACAUCUUGACGGUACCUAAUCAGAAAGCCACGGCUAACUACGUG
rnacentral:rRNA from 1 species